rnacentral:lncRNA from 1 species
CUGGUGCGAUAUUUCAACACAAUCACAGACUAAUGCUAAUAUUCUUGAACAAACAUAUGGUGCGAGCUGGAAUUCAACGCGCAAUAAUGUUCUUCCUUAUCAUAACAAUUAGUUAGAGAAGAUUUUAACGACAACACGAAAAAUUCUGAUUUCUAGCACACUUUGAACACAGAGAUAGUAAUAGAACAUCUCAAUACAAUUCGAAGAAAGAUGUUUGAUUCAAUCAUUCUGCUGGCUAGGUUCUUAUCUAGUUGAAAUCACUAAAGGAAACGAAUAUGAACCUGAAGCGAGCUUUCAAUUAACAUUUGAAAUAGUUAGUAGAGGUGCAAAUGAAUCUGGAUAUGCAAAUUCCAGCAGCGAGCCAAACAUUGAGCAGCGACUAAAAAGCUAACACGACAAGAACACAAUGGAACCUCGGAUAGAACCUUAACACAUCAAUCGAACUCCAUUUUCAGAACGAAAAUUCAAAGAACUAUAGCUCCAAUUUCAAGAUCAAUCACAAAAUCAAAGAAGAGAACAGAAUACAUAUUUUGUUUUAACUCUGCUUCCGUUCCCUCCUAUUUCUAUCCGUACUCCUAUGUUUCUCUUACUCUGUAUGUGUGUGUGGUUGCUAGUUUUCUGAGAUGAGGGAGAUAGAAAUGGGAACCAGAGGAAUAUGGGUGGUCAUUUGUGUGUUGUGUGUUGUUCACAGCGUGAGAGUGGUGGAGGGGUCAGUAGCGGUGGCUGUGAUUUUUCUGCUUAGGUCUUGCGUUCAUGAAGAUCAAGGUGAGGGUGCUGAACGUUGUCUCUAAUGUGUGUGUGAUGAGAGGAUUCUCAAUCCUUGUUUUUUGUUCUGCUCCAGAAGACAAAGGUCAGGGGGGUCCUGAUAUUGAACGGCGCCUCCGAUCUUUUCCUCAAUUCCACCCCCCUCUCGGAUUUCAGGUGUUACCUAUAUUGUAUAGGUCUAGGUUUAGGUUAUUUUUUUCUCUUU